rnacentral:rRNA from 1 species
GACGAACGCUGGCGGCGUGCUUAACACAUGCAAGUCGAACGGAAAGGCCCUGCUUGCAGGGUACUCGAGUGGCGAACGGGUGAGUAACACGUGGGUGAUCUGCCCUGCACCUCGGGAUAAGCCUGGGAAACUGGGUCUAAUACCGGAUAGGAGCCAUUUUUAGUGUGAUGGUUGGAAAGUUUUUUCGGUGUAGGAUGAGCUCGCGGCCUAUCAGCUUGUUGGUGGGGUAAUGGCCUACCAAGGCGGCGACGGGUAGCCGGCCUGAGAGGGUGGACGGCCACAUUGGGACUGAGAUACGGCCCAGACUCCUACGGGAGGCAGCAGUGGGGAAUAUUGCACAAUGGGCGCAAGCCUGAUGCAGCGACGCCGCGUGGGGGAUGACGGCCUUCGGGUUGUAAACUCCUUUCGCUAGGGACCAAGCUUUUUGUGACGGUACCUAGAUAAGAAGCACCGGCUAACUACGUG